ACGGAGGGUGCAAACGUUGCUCGGAAUCAUUGGGCGUAAAGCGCACGUAGGUGGUCCAGCAAGUCGGGUGUGAAAGCCCUCGGCUUAACCGAGGAAGUGCAUUCGAAACUACUGGACUUGAGUACUGAAGAGGGUCGCGGAAUUCCCGGUGUAGAGGUGAAAUUCGUAGAUAUCGGGAGGAACACCAGUGGCGAAGGCGGCGACCUGGGCAGAUACUGACACUGAGGUGCGAAAGCGUGGGGAGCAAACAGGA
rnacentral:rRNA from 1 species